rnacentral:sRNA from 1 species
AGGAGAGGGGAAGAGAGAGAAGGAGAGGGAAUCCCAGUUCUUGCAGCCACUGGGAAUCAAGAGGCCCAACUCCGUCUUGGUCUUCAAGCAAACAAACAAACAACAAUGGGCCGUGGGAAGGGUGAAUGUGGGUCCAGACCCGCCCCUCCUCAGCUUCCUAUAAAAGCUGGGGACCAGGUACUGCUGAUACACACACCAUGAGGCUCUCCAGGAGACCAGAGACCUUUCUGCUGGCCUUUGUGUUGCUCUGCACCCUCCUGGGUCUUGGGUGCCCACUACACUGCGAAAUAUGUACGGCGGCGGGGAGCAGGUGCCAUGGCCAAAUGAAGACUUGCAGCAGUGACAAGGACACAUGUGUGCUCCUGGUCGGGAAGGCUACUUCAAGUAAGAGGAUGUGGCCUGGGACCUGGUGGGGAGGUGGGGUGUACCUUCAGGGUGGAAGAGACUACCAUGCUGAGGGGGGAUCAUCACGGUUCUCAAGACGGGGGAGCGUGGGAAGAAAUCAGUGGAGAGCAGGAAAGAGGGAAAGACCAUCAUGAGAUGGAGGGAACAGAAAUAAAUGGUGUGAUAGAAAUCAUUAUUGUCACGGAAUUCUGAAAAUGACACUGUCCUAAAGAGAAGGAAAAUGUGGGAGGGGUGAGAGCUAAUAGACUUUCUUAGGCAGAAGAGGGGUAAGGAAAGACACUGUGGGGGCAGAGAAAUAGUGAGAGGGGAAGAAUCUAACUGGCAGGAGGUGGAAAUGGUGGGGAGUGGAUAGAGAAGGAA